rnacentral:rRNA from 1 species
UCCCUACGGGCGGCAGCAGUGGGGAAUCUUGGACAAUGGGGGCAACCCUGAUCCAGCGACGCCGCGUGGGUGACGAAGGCCUUAGGGUUGUAAAGCCCUUUUCUCGGGGAAGAUGAUGACGGUACCCGAGGAAUAAGCACCGGCUAACUCCGUGCCAGCAGCCGCGGUAAGACGGAGGGUGCUAGCGUUGUUCGGAAUUACUGGGCGUAAAGGGCGCGUAGGCGGCCUGGAAAGUCGGAUGUGAAAGCCCGGGGCUCAACCUCGGAACUGCAUUCGAAACUCCUGGGCUCGAGAACGGAAGAGGAGAGUGGAAUACCCAGUGUAGAGGUGAAAUUCGUAGAUAUUGGGUGGAACACCGGUGGCGAAAGCGGCUCUCUGGUCCGGAUCUGACGCUGAGGCGCGAAAGCGUGGGGAGCAAACAGGAUUAGAUACCCUAGUAGUCGC